CCUACGGGGGGCAGCAGUGGGGAAUAUUGCGCAAUGGGCGAAAGCCUGACGCAGCCACGCCGCGUGAGCGAUGAAGGCCUUCGGGUCGUAAAGCUCUGUGGGGAGAGAAGAAUAAAGCCUGUGAAGAGCGGGCCUUGACGGUAUCUCCUUAGCAAGCACCGGCUAACUCCGUGCCAGCAGCCGCGGUAAUACGGAGGGUGCGAACGUUGCUCGGAAUCAUUGGGCGUAAAGCGCACGUAGGCUGCGAGGAAAGUUGGGUGUGAAAGCCCUGGGCUCAACCCAGGAAGUGCAUUCAAAACUACCUUGCUUGAAUCUCGGAGGGGGUCAGAGAAUUCCCGGUGUAGAGGUGAAAUUCGUAGAUAUCGGGAGGAAUACCAGUGGCGAAGGCGCUGACCUGGACGAAGAUUGACGCUGAGGUGCGAAAGCGUGGGGAGCAAACAGGAUUAGAUACCCUAGUAGUCCAG
rnacentral:rRNA from 1 species